CAGCUUUAAAAGUGGAGCUUUGAGUGUC
rnacentral:piRNA from 1 species